UGAUGUAACUAACCAGAACCCUCUUCCUCAGGACCCUUCCAGCUUCUGAGAGUGGCUUUCCAACCAUUCCUUCUGGUCCCGCCCCCCCUUUAGAAUGAUUCCCAUUUGGGAAUUCCUCUCCAGCUAUCACACUGCCCCUGCAACAAAAUGAUCAACAAGUGCUUACGAAAUUGGAACUGAAGAUUAAGUAAUACUGGAGCAGGUGAAUCAACCAUACUACACACUCUUUCGGCGGCCUUCAUAUUUGGAUGUGGACAUUGAAGGAUUGCUGACCAAUGCCAGAGUCACAGGAAUUGCCUGCUGUGCUUUUGAUCUUCCCAUAUGACUGAAUUUCCUGAAUCAUC
rnacentral:lncRNA from 1 species